rnacentral:rRNA from 1 species
UACGUAGGGGGCAAGCGUUGUUCGGAAUCACUGGGCGUAAAGGGCGUGUAGGCGGCCCGCUAAGUCUGAUGUGAAAGCCCGGGGCUCACCCCCGGAAGGGCAUUGGAAACUGGCGGACUCGAGUCCCGGAGAGGAGGGUGGAAUUCCCGGUGUAGCGGUGAAAUGCGUAGAUAUCAGGAGGAACACCUGUGGUGUAGACAGCUUACUGGACCAUAACUGACGCUGAGGCACGAAAGCGUGGGUAGCAAACAGGA